rnacentral:rRNA from 1 species
GACGGGUGAGAAUCCCGUCCACCGAUUGACUAAGGUUUCCAGAGGAAGGCUCGUCCGCUCUGGGUUAGUCGGGUCCUAAGCUGAGGCCGACAGGCGUAGGCGAUGGAUAACAGGUUGAUAUUCCUGUACCACCUAUAAUCGUUUUAAUCGAUGGGGGGACGCAGUAGGAUAGGCGAAGCGUGCGAUUGGAUUGCACGUCUAAGCAGUAAGGCUGAGUAUUAGGCAAAUCCGGUACUCGUUAAGGCUGAGCUGUGAUGGGGAGAAGACAUUGUGUCUUCGAGUCGUUGAUUUCACACUGCCGAGAAAAGCCUCUAGAUAGAAAAUAGGUGCCCGUACCGCAAACCGACACAGGUAGUCAAGAUGAGAAUUCUAAGGUGAGCGAGCGAACUCUCGUUAAGGAACUCGGCAAAAUGACCCCGUAACUUCGGGAGAAGGGGUGCUCUUUAGGGUUAACGCCCAGAAGAGCCGCAGUGAAUAGGCCCAAGCGACUGUUUAUCAAAAACACAGGUCUCUGCUAAACCGUAAGGUGAUGUAUAGGGGCUGACGCCUGCCCGGUGCUGGAAGGUUAAGAGGAGUGGUUAGCUUCUGCGAAGCUACGAAUCGAAGCCCCAGUAAACGGCGGCCGUAACUAUAACGGUCCUAAGGUAGCGAAAUUCCUUGUCGGGUAAGUUCCGACCCGCACGAAAGGCGUAACGAUUUGGGCACUGUCUCAACGAGAGACUCGGUGAAAUCAUAGUACCUGUGAAGAUGCAGGUUACCCGCGACAGGACGGAAAGACCCCGUGGAGCUUUACUGUAGCCUGAUAUUGAAAUUCGGCACAGCUUGUACAGGAUAGGUAGGAGCCUUUGAAACGUGAGCGCUAGCUUACGUGGAGGCGCUGGUGGGAUACUACCCUAGCUGUGUUGGCUUUCUAACCCGCACCACUUAUCGUGGUGGGAGACAGUGUCAGGCGGGCAGUUUGACUGGGGCGGUCGCCUCCUAAAAGGUAACGGAGGCGCUCAAAGGUUCCCUCAGAAUGGUUGGAAAUCAUUCAUAGAGUGUAAAGGCAUAAGGGAGCUUGACUGCGAGACCUACAAGUCGAGCAGGGUCGAAAGACGGACUUAGUGAUCCGGUGGUUCCGCAUGGAAGGGCCAUCGCUCAACGGAUAAAAGCUACCCCGGGGAUAACAGGCUUAUCUCCCCCAAGAGUUCACAUCGACGGGGAGGUUUGGCACCUCGAUGUCGGCUCAUCGCAUCCUGGGGCUGUAGUCGGUCCCAAGGGUUGGGCUGUUCGCCCAUUAAAGCGGUACGCGAGCUGGGUUCAGAACGUCGUGAGACAGUUCGGUCCCUAUCCGUCGUGGGCGUAGGAAAUUUGAGAGGAGCUGUCCUUAGUACGAGAGG